ACCUGAGCCGAAACCAAGAGUCAGACGCUUCACCGACUGAGCCCCCCCAGGCGUCCCUACCUUUCAGUUUCUGAAUGCGCUUUACGUACGAGAGAAAGCCUGGAACGUACCCGUGUACUACCAUCCCCUGGGCUUCCGGAACGAGCACACCAGCUCCCGGGACCCGGAUGGCCACCCGCUUCCUUGGCCUGGGCUCACCCUCCUUGAUCCACAGCAGAUCCCGCCAUCUCCAACUGAGAGGCCAAAGGGCCCCAUCCCCAAGAAUGCAUUGCUGUGGCCCAGCCACUUAGCAAGGGGAUUCAUUUUCCAAAUAGUGGUGUCCACUUGCCAGAUAGAGGUAAUCAGAAAGGAAAAGGCAAAUGCGUCAGACGGUCACCUCUUUGCCGCUGCCUGAAUUCUGUGAGUCCGAAAACGCUGAAGGCACAUCCUUAACCAAAGACAUGGCUCGCGUGUGCCAAUCUUAGCUAUGCCAAGCCAUGGGUUAUGGGCAAUCAAGAACAGAAAUGGGACUCCUCCUUGGAAGCCCUACUGCAAAAAUGCCCAUGCUCCUGAGCCCGGAAAAGGCCAUGAACGUUGACACUACACCUGCCAACGGACACGGAACUUCAGAACGUUCCACUCACUUCCUGUGCCACAUCAACAACGGCAACUUCACUUUCCGUCCAGCAAGGAGACAAACCGCUCCCUCCUCUCCCCGGCCCACUGUGGACGCGGGGCCAGAUGAUGAAGUCAGAUCGCAAAGCACAUCUAACUGCUUCUAAUGCUCAGUGUUAUGGGUCAACUUGGCUAGGCCGUGGUCUUUUGGCCACACGUUAUUCUAGAGGUUUCUGAAGGUACUUUUUUUUUUCCUCGAUGAGACUGACAUGCAGAUCAGUAGGCCUGGGUUAAAGCAGAUUACUCUCCAUAAUGUGGGUGGGCCUCAUCCCGUCAGUUGGAAGGUUCAAAGAGAAAAAAAAAGACUGAGGUCCCCCCGGGGGAAAGGGAAUUCGGACAGCAGACUGCCUUUGGAUCCUCGCUGCAACAUGAGUUCCUCCCUGGGUCUCCGAGCUGCAGAGACAGAUAAAGAGAGAACGUCUCACACCUGCAGCUGAUGACAAGACAAAUCCGAGGUUUCCCAGUCUUCACGGCCCUCAGAGGACCCGCCCUGAAGCUUCUCUGGAAGGCAGGUCAAAGCCUCCAACCCUCCCCUGCCUCCCCACUGCUCUCUGCUUUUACCAGUCUCCCCUCUGGCUCAUCUCCCUCCUGCAGGGAAGCGUGCCUCUUAAUCCACCGAGGAAAUCAAGGCCAUCAAGGCCAUCGGCAGGAAUUUCCAAAAGUGGUCACGGGCCUGUAGCAUCAGCGUCGGUCAGCAUCCCCUGGCAACCGGGCAGACCCUGGGCCCCCAUCCCGAUCAAGCUCCGCAUCGUGGCUCCUCUGCAGGUGCGGAUGAGAGAAGCCACGCACAAGUAAGGACCCUCUGUCCCUCCUCCCCCGGAGGAAGCAGAGUCAGGAAGCCAGACGCUCAGGUCUCUCCCAUUUAAAUACAAUGUGGGUCUCUCCCACAGCUUUCAUUGAUGUCUUUCUUCUCCUUGUCUCCUUCCGUCUCCCAUGUCUCCCAUCGGUUCCUCACUCCACUCUCAUCCUUUGGCUUCAAGUUACCCUCUCGCACUAAAACCGCUCUUGUUAGUUUCCAAUGACAUCCGUGUGGCCGGAAUCAGCAGAUACCUCCCGACCAUCAUUGCUGCAGGAUUUAACGUUGUUGCCUCUCACCUCAUAUAAAUGUGACUCACUCUUGGGUGCUGGCACACCCAGGGUUCCCGGAGUCACACCUCCGCUCUCUCUCCCACCUGAUCGGCCCCGGCCCCCUGUUCUUUUUCCCGGGUUGCCCUUUCUGUUCCCGCUCCAAAUCCCCAAAUUCCUCAAGGCUCCUUCUCUGCCCUUGGCUGACUCUAACUAGGCGACCUCGUCCUGAUCUAUGGCUCCAACUGUCACGCCCUGCAAUUUCCAAACCCGCAUCACUAGCCUGGACCUCGGCUCAAGCAACAGCUUCCCACUGGACGUGGCCACCUGGAUGCCUCGCAAGCCCAAGGUCAGCACGCCUAAACCUGACACCCGCUCUGUCUGUGCCUUCCUGUCUCCAUCGCAGGGGACCGCCCUCUCUUCUCAGGAGGCACGUUAGAAUCACGACCCAUUCACCUCGUCUGGCUGGUCACCGAAUCCUGAAGAUUCUGCCAUCUUGAGGUUCUCUUUGUGACACUCGCCCCUCUCCCCCCCCCGCCCCCCCCCCGCCAUUUGCACUGCCCUGGCUCCACGUCUCAACGCUUCCCUCCUGGAUGUCACCGAAAGCCACUUACUGGAGCCCUGCUUCCAGCCGGCCCCCUCUACAGCUCAGCCUCACUCUAUCCACCACACUGCUGCCA